CCCGGCCACUACAGCGGCUCAGCUGGGAACACCGGGAUCCAGGGCUGCCUCCCCUGCGAUGCAGGGUAUUUCUGCAAUGGCACUGGACUUGUGUCCCCCAGUGGGUUGUGUGAGGCUGGCUUCUACUGCACUGGAGGAAGCCUUUCCCCCAGACCUCCCAGGCCAACUGCCAGUGGAGGUCCCUGUCCCCCUGGGCACUUCUGUGAGGAGGGGAGCAGCAGAGCCCAGCCGUGCCCUGCAGGGACCUACAGCCCCUCCUGGAGGGGGAGCCGCUGCCUGGAGUGCCC
rnacentral:lncRNA from 1 species